rnacentral:misc_RNA from 1 species
UGGGCUUUGCAUACUUCUCUAGAUAUAUCUCAAAAAACCUCUUUUUCGCUGCCUCAGGACUAAAUCCUGCUACCCCUUUCACGGAUGCAACUCCACCUAAAAAGUUCGCUUCACCAGUCCCCAUGAAUGGCACAAAGUCUUCAGGGGUGACUUCAACACCCAACUCCCUAAAAACAUCGACCGCAGCCCUUCGUGAUAGGUCCUCGCUAUUACAAAGCACUCCAUCCAUGUCAAACAACACUGCCGAAACCUUCCCCCACUCGCUCUUAUAAGGGCUCUCCUUAGCACUGCUCUCCUCCACCUUCACGCAAGCUUUAACCGCCAUUUUUCGCGAAACAACAAAGUGUUUCGACCUCCACUCGAGAAGAUAGUAAGGGACUGAUGUGGGUCUUGUUCCUCUUAGCUUACUCGAGAAGAAGCAUAAUCUGGCCGAAGACGUAAGCGGAGGAGAAGGGGAAAGAUACUUCA